GUAAACAUAGUUUAAGUAAAACAUUAGGCUGUGGACCUAGUAAUAAGCGCGACCCCGCCCUUUAUCUACC
rnacentral:tRNA from 1 species